rnacentral:rRNA from 1 species
AUUGAACGCUGGCGGCAUGCCUAACACAUGCAAGUCGAACUAUUGGCUGACUGGUGAGUAAUGUCUGGGAAACUGCCCCAUGGAGGGGGAUAUCUACUGGAAAAGGUCGCUAAUCCCGCAUACCAUCCGAUGUCCCCAGAUGGGCUUAUCUAGUUGGGGGGGUAACGGCUCACCUAGGCGACGCUCCCUCGCUGGUCUGAGAGGAAGACCAGCCACACUGGAACUGAGACACGGUCCAGACUCCUACGGGAGGUAGGAGUGGGGAAUAUUGCACAAUGUGCUGAAGCCAGAUGCAACCAUGCCGCGUGUAUGAAGCAGGCCUUCGCGUCGUCACGUACUUUCGGCAGGGAGGCGUUACCCGCAGCAGUAGCACCGGCUAACUCCGUGCCAGCAGCCGCGGUAAUAC